rnacentral:rRNA from 1 species
UACGGAAGGGGCAAGCGUUGAUCGGAAUUACUGGGCGUAAAGCGUGCGUAGGCGGCUCUUUAAGUUGGGGGUGAAAUCCUGGAGCUCAACCCCAGAACUGCGCUUAAGACUGCAGAGCUGGAGUGUGCGAGAGGAGAGUGGAAUUCCGAGUGUAGCGGUGAAAUUCGUAGAUAUUCGGAAGAACACCAGUGGCGAAGGCGGCUCACUGGAGCAUUUCUGACGCUGAGGUACGAAAGCGUGGGGAGCAAACAGG